AUUGAACGCUGGCGGCAGGCCUAACACAUGCAAGUCGAGCGGCAGCGGGAAGUAGCUUGCUACUUUGCCGGCGAGCGGCGGACGGGUGAGUAAUGUCUGGGAAACUGCCUGAUGGAGGGGGAUAACUACUGGAAACGGUAGCUAAUACCGCAUAACGUCGCAAGACCAAAGAGGGGGACCUUCGGGCCUCUUGCCAUCAGAUGUGCCCAGAUGGGAUUAGCUAGUAGGUGGGGUAAUGGCUCACCUAGGCGACGAUCCCUAGCUGGUCUGAGAGGAUGACCAGCCACACUGGAACUGAGACACGGUCCAGACUCCUACGGGAGGCAGCAGUGGGGAAUAUUGCACAAUGGGCGCAAGCCUGAUGCAGCCAUGCCGCGUGUAUGAAGAAGGCCUUCGGGUUGUAAAGUACUUUCAGCGGGGAGGAAGGUGCUGAGGUUAAUAACCUCAGCAAUUGACGUUACCCGCAGAAGAAGCACCGGCUAACUCCGUGCCAGCAGCCGCGGUAA
rnacentral:rRNA from 1 species